rnacentral:rRNA from 1 species
CCAGACUCCUACGGGAGGCAGCAGUGGGGGAUAUUGCACAAUGGGGGAAACCCUGAUGCAGCAACGCCGCGUGAGUGAAGAAGUCAUUCGUGAUGUAAAGCUCUAUCAGCAGGGAAGAAAAUGACGGUACCUGAGUAAGAAGCCCCGGCUAACUACGUGCCAGCAGCCGCGGUAAUACGUAGGGGGCAAGCGUUAUCCGGAUUUACUGGGUGUAAAGGGAGCGUAGACGGCCAGACAAGUCUGAUGUGAAAGCCCGGGGCCCAACCGCGGGACUGCAUUGGGAACUACCGGGCUGGAGUGCCGGAGAGGUAGGCGGAAUUCCUAGUGUAGCGGUGAAAUGCGUAGAUAUUAGGAGGAACACCAGUGGCGAAGGCGGCCUACUGGACGGUGACUGACGCUGAGGCUCGAAAGCGUGGGGAGCAAACAGGAUUAGAUACCCGCGUA